UUAUACAACAGUGAAAGCGGGGUAACAACACUGUAACGGCUACCCUGGUGUAGAGAGGGUACCAGCCAUUAGGGAUGUCCUUUUCUUCCUGGCAGUCGCUGUGUAGUGAUGGAGUCGCCUAUUCCCUUCUGCUGGAUCAAGAGUGGAAGCCAGGUGCAGCUCUGAAAAGAGCUAAGUGAUUAAGCUGCAGAGAUUCCCCUUUCAAGAACGAGACGAGGCUACGUUUUGAAG